GAUGAACGCUGGCGGCGUGCCUAAUACAUGCAAGUCGAGCGAACGGACGAGAAGCUUGCUUUUCUGAUGUUAGCGGCGGACGGGUGAGUAACACGUGGAUAACCUACCUAUAAGACUGGGAUAACUUCGGGAAACCGGAGCUAAUACCGGAUAAUAUUUUGAACCGCAUGGUUCAAAAGUGAAAGACGGUCUUGCUGUCACUUAUAGAUGGAUCCGCGCUGCAUUAGCUAGUUGGUAAGGUAACGGCUUACCAAGGCAACGAUGCAUAGCCGACCUGAGAGGGUGAUCGGCCACACUGGAACUGAGACACGGUCCAGACUCCUCCGGGAGGCAGCAGUAGGGAAUCUUCCGCAAAGGGCGAAAGCCUGACGGAGCAACGCCGCGUGAGUGAUGAAGGUCUUCGGAUCGUAAAACUCUGUUAUUAGGGAAGAACAUAUGUGUAAGUAACUGUGCACAUCUUGACGGUACCUAAUCAGAAAGCCACGGCUAACUACGUG
rnacentral:rRNA from 1 species